rfam:Flavobacterium cauense R2A-7 FCR2A7T_19, whole genome shotgun sequence.
GUUUUGUUUGCGUUAGGGAUAGGAGCGGCAUCCUUUUUAUUUGGACAUUGAGGCUCUCGAAAUGUCCAAAUAAAAAGAUACAGCGGAUAGCCCGACCCUUG